AUACAGAGGGUGCAAGCGUUAAUCGGAAUUACUGGGCGUAAAGCGCGCGCAGGUGGUUAGUUAAGUUGGAUGUGAAAGCCCUGGGCUCAACCUGGGAAUGGCAUUCAAAACUGGCUGACUAGAGUAUGGUAGAGGGAAGGGGAAUUCCAGGUGUAGCGGUGAAAUGCGUAGAUAUCUGGAGGAACAUCAGUGGCGAAGGCGCCUUCCUGGACUAAUUCUGACACUGAGGUGCGAAAGCGUGGGUAGCAAACAGGAGUAGAAACCCCAGUAGUCC
rnacentral:rRNA from 1 species